rnacentral:misc_RNA from 1 species
GCAAAAACCCAUCUAGCAACCGGAAAACCCUAUUGGAAGUUCUAAGUUUUCCCUGCACCGGCGUGAAGCUUCACAAGCUUAUGCUCUCACUCACUCACAGGUUUCGGACUCUGUCCUCAUCUCUAUGCUCCAAAUCUCAUCCAUUUCGAUCGUUCCGGACGGACGCCGGACCCUCCAAGCGCCGCUCAAGACCUGCUGCAUUCACUGUAAACAAGCCCGACCAGAAGUCCGAGUGGUGGGCUGUUGACGGCGAAAUGCACGAAAUCGGUGAUAAUGUGCCCCCUCGCGAGCGAUUCGUUAUACCCAGAGAAAAUAUCCCCAAUCGGCGUCGAAAGCAGCUCAGGGAACAGUUCAUGCGCCGGACUCGCCUCGUUCUCAAGGAAUCUGAGCACGAGCCUUGGUGCAAAAAGUACAUGGAGCUUUAUCAGGAGCUAAGGGAAAACUGGGAGAGGCUGUAUUGGGACGAGGGUUACUCGAAAAAACUUGCUCGGGAACAUGCAAACUAUGAGUCUUCUGAGGACGAAGAUUUUUCCCCUUAUAGGAAUAGGCAAUCCGGUGCCGAUCGGAGUA